rnacentral:ncRNA from 1 species
CAAAGGCAUGGUCCCAACCUUACCAUCAGCCAUAGCUCAACUUACACAUGCAAGUCUCCGCAGCCCUGUGAAUAUGCCCUCAAUCCCCCGCCCGGGGACGAGGAGCGAGCAUCAGGCACAAAAUUUAGCCCAAGACGCUUGGCCAAGCCACACCCCCAAGGGAAUUCAGCAGUGAUAGACAUUAAGCCAUAAGUGAAAACUUGACUCAGUCAGAGCUAAGAGGGCCGGUAAAACUCGUGCCAGCCACCGCGGUUAGACGAGAGGCCCUAGUUGAUAUUAAAACGGCGUAAAGGGUGGUUAGGGACAGAAAAUAAUAAAGCCAAAUGGCCCCUUGGCCGUCAUACGCUUCUAGGCGUCCGAAGCCCCACAUACGAAAGUAGCUUUAACAAACCCGCCCGACCCCACGAAAGCUAAGAAACAAACUGGGAUUAGAUACCCCACUAUGCUUAGCCGUAAACUCAGACAUCCAACUACAAUAAGAUGUCCGCCAGGGUACUACGAGCACUAGCUUAAAACCCAAAGGACCUGACGGUGUCUCAGAUCCACCUAGAGGAGCCUGUUCUAGAACCGAUAACCCCCGUUCAACCUCACCACUUCUAGUCAUUCCAGCCUAUAUACCGCCGUCGUCAGCUUACCCUGUGAAGGUAAUAAAAGUAAGCAAAAUGGGCACAACCCAGAACGUCAGGUCGAGGUGUAGCGAAUGAAAUGGAAAGAAAUGGGCUACAUUUUCUACUACAGAAUACAACGAAUAUGCACCAUGAAAUAGUGCUUAAAGGAGGAUUUAGCAGUAAAAGGGAAAUAGAGUGUCCCUUUGAACCCGGCUCUGAGACGCGUACACACCGCCCGUCACUCUCCCCCACCACCACGCACCCAAAAUACUUAAUGCCAAAGCAACAAAAAGGGGAGGCAAGUCGUAACACGGUAAGUGUACCGGAAGGUGCACUUGGACCAAACC